rnacentral:tRNA from 1 species
GGAAGGGUGACAGAGCUGGCCGAAUGUACCGGUCUUGAAAACCGGCGUAGGGCAACCUACCGUGGGUUCGAAUCCCACCCCUUCCGCCA